rnacentral:rRNA from 1 species
CAGUCGAGCGAGCGGAACCACAGAUUUACUUCGGUAAUGACGUUGGGAAAGCGAGCGGCGGAUGGGUGAGUAACACGUGGGGAACCUGCCCCUAAGUCUGGGAUACCAUUUGGAAACAGGUGCUAAUACCGGAUAAUAAAGCAGAUCGCAUGAUCAGCUUUUGAAAGGCGGCGUAAGCUGUCGCUAAGGGAUGGCCCCGCGGUGCAUUAGCUAGUUGGUAAGGUAACGGCUUACCAAGGCGACGAUGCAUAGCCGAGUUGAGAGACUGAUCGGCCACAUUGGGACUGAGACACGGCCCAAACUCCUACGGGAGGCAGCAGUAGGGAAUCUUCCACAAUGGACGCAAGUCUGAUGGAGCAACGCCGCGUGAGUGAAGAAGGUUUUCGGAUCGUAAAGCUCUGUUGUUGGUGAAGAAGGAUAGAGGUAGUAACUGGCCUUUAUUUGACGGUAAUCAACCAGAAAGUCACGGCUAACUACGUGCCAGCAGCCGCGGUAAUACGUAGGUGGCAAGCGUUGUCCGGAUUUAUUGGGCGUAAAGCGAGCGCAGGCGGAAAAAUAAGUCUAAUGUGAAAGCCCUCGGCUUAACCGAGGAACUGCAUCGGAAACUGUUUUUCUUGAGUGCAGAAGAGGAGAGUGGAACUCCAUGUGUAGCGGUGGAAUGCGUAGAUAUAUGGAAGAACACCAGUGGCGAAGGCGGCUCUCUGGUCUGCAACUGACGCUGAGGCUCGAAAGCAUGGGUAGCGAACAGGAUUAGAUACCCUGGUAGUCCAUGCCGUAAACGAUGAGUGCUAAGUGUUGGGA